rnacentral:rRNA from 1 species
CCUACGGGAGGCAGCAGUGGGGAAUAUUGGACAAUGGGCGAAAGCCUGAUCCAGCCAUGCCGCGUGUGUGAAGAAGGUCUUCGGAUUGUAAAGCACUUUAAGUUGGGAGGAAGGGCAGUAAAUUAAUACUUUGCUGCUUUGACGUUACCGACAAAAUAAGCACCGGCUAACUACGUGCCAGCAGCCGCGGUAAUACGUAGGGUGCAAGCGUUAAUCGGAAUUACUGGGCGUAAAGCGUGCGCAGGCGGUUUUGUAAGUCUGAUGUGAAAUCCCCGGGCUCAACCUGGGAACUGCAUUGGAGACUGCAAGGCUAGAGUGUGUCAGAGGGGGGUAGAAUUCCACGUGUAGCAGUGAAAUGCGUAGAGAUGUGGAGGAAUACCGAUGGCGAAGGCAGCCCCCUGGGAUAACACUGACGCUCAUGCACGAAAGCGUGGGGAGCAAACAGGAUUAGAUACCCUGGUAGUCCUAGCCCUAAACGAUGUCUACUAGUUGUCGGGACUUAAUUGUCUUGGUAACGCAGCUAACGCGUGAAGUAGACCGCCUGGGGAGUACGGUCGCAAGAUUAAAACUCAAAGGAAUUGACGG